AGGUGAGAUGCCAUGCUCACAAAGGUGUUUUUCCUAGGGAAUUGCCUAUCCCUUGCACAUGGGUUGUGCUGACACGUGCAAUUUCCCCAAAUGCCAGGAGCUUGACU
rnacentral:snRNA from 14 species